rnacentral:rRNA from 1 species
CGUACUGGAAACGGUAGCUAAUACCGCAUAACGUCGCAAGACCAAAGAGGGGGACCUUCGGGCCUCUUGCCAUCAGAUGUGCCCGGAUGGGAUUAGCUUGUUGGUGGGGUAACGGCUCACCAAGGCGACGAUCCCUAGCUGGUCUGAGAGGAUGACCAGCCACACUGGAACUGAGACACGGUCCAG